CCUACGGGAGGCAGCAGUGAGGAAUAUUGGUCAAUGGGCGCAAGUCUGAACCAGCCAUGCCGCGUGCAGGAAGACGGCUCUAUGGGUUGUAAACUGCUUUUGUACGAGGGUAAACGCAGAUACGCGUAUCUGUCUGAAAGUAUCUUACGAAUAAGGAUCGGCUAACUCCGUGCCAGCAGCCGCGGUAAUACGGAGGAUUCAAGCGUUAUCCGGAUUUAUUGGGUUUAAAGGGUGCGUAGGCGGUCGGAUAAGUCAGUGGUGAAAUCCCGAGGCUCAACUGUGGAAUUGCAACUGAUACUGUCAGGCUAGAGAGUAGUUGAGGUAGGCGGAAUGUAUGGUGUAGCGGUGAAAUGCUUAGAGAUCAUAAAGAACACCGAUUGCGAAGGCAGCUUACCAAGCUACUACUGACGUUGAGGCACGAAAGCGUGGGGAGCAAACAGGAUUAGAUACCCGGGUAGUC
rnacentral:rRNA from 1 species